rnacentral:rRNA from 1 species
GACGAACGCUGGCGGCGUGCUUAACACAUGCAAGUCGAACGGUAAGGCCCUUUCGGGGGUACACGAGUGGCGAACGGGUGAGUAACACGUGGGUGAUCUGCCCUGCACUUUGGGAUAAGCCUGGGAAACUGGGUCUAAUACCGGAUAGGACUACGCACUGCAUGGUGUGUGGUGGAAAGCGUUUGCGGUGUGGGAUGGGCCCGCGGCCUAUCAGCUUGUUGGUGGGGUGAUGGCCUACCAAGGCGACGACGGGUAGCCGGCCUGAGAGGGUGUCCGGCCAGACUGGGACUGAGAUACGGCCCAGACUCCUACGGGAGGCAGCAGUGGGGAAUAUUGCACAAUGGGCGCAAGCCUGAUGCAGCGACGCCGCGUGAGGGAUGACGGCCUUCGGGUUGUAAACCUCUUUCGGUAGGGACGAAGCGGAAGUGACGGUACCUAUAGAAGAAGGACCGGCCAACUACGUGCCAGCCGCCGCAGUAAAAC